rnacentral:pre_miRNA from 1 species
UACGUACUCCCUCCGUUCCGAAUUACUUGUCGCGGGUAUGGAUGUAUCUAGAUGUAUUUUAGUUCUAGAUACAUCCAUUUCUGCGACGAGUAAUUUGGAACGGAGUACUCC